UACGUAGGGUGCAAGUGUUGUUCCGGAAUUAUUGGGCGUAAAGAGCUCGUAGGCGGUCUGUCGCGUCGGCUGUGAAAUCCCGAGGCUCAACCUCGGGUCUGCAGUCGAUACGGGCAAACUAGAGUAUUGCAGGGGAGACUGGAAUUCCUGGUGUAGCGGUGAAAUGCGCAGAUAUCAGGAGGAACACCGGUGGCGAAGGCGGGUCUCUGGGCAAUUACCUGACGCUGGAGGAGCGAAAGUGUCGGGGAGCGAACAGG
rnacentral:rRNA from 1 species